rnacentral:tRNA from 35 species
GGAGACGUGGGUGAGUGGCUGAAACCAACGCUUUGCUAAAGCGUCAUACGGGAAACCGUAUCGAGGGUUCGAAUCCCUCCGUCUCCGCCA